GAAGAGCUCCAGGUGAUCGCUGGUUCCGCCGGCCCGGCCGGUGGAACGGGAGGAAAGUCCGGGCUCCGCAGGGCAGGAUGGUUCCUAACGGGAACCGGGGGUGACCCUAGGGAAAGUGCCACAGAAAGCAGACCGCUCCGCCGCCGGCGUCGCGCAAGCGACGGAGGCGCCGGGGUAAGGGUGAAAGGGUGAGGUAAGAGCUCACCAGGUCCGGCGGUGACGUCGGAUGCUCGGCAAACCCCAUCCGGAGCAAGGCCGAAUAGGGGAGCGUUUGAGGGCGGCCCGUCCGAAGCUCCCGGGUAGGCUGCUCGAGGUCGUCGGCGACGGCGAUCCUAGAUGAAUGAUCACCACCCCGCGGGGGGUAACCGCCGCGGGGGACAGAACCCGGCUUACGGGGCUCUUCGACC
rnacentral:RNase_P_RNA from 1 species